rnacentral:tRNA from 1 species
GCCUCGCUGGCUCAGUCAGUAGAGCGUGUGACUCUUGAUCUCAGGGUCAUGAGUUCAAGCCCCAUGUAGGGCA